rnacentral:tRNA from 1 species
UUAGUGGUUAAGGCAAUGGAUUGCUAGUGAUAAUUAUAAUGCAAGUACCUACUGCACUUUGUGCGCGGAGGUUCGAACCCUAUCAUUG